rnacentral:lncRNA from 1 species
UGCUCAGUUUACAAGACUCCCAGUCGCUAUUCGAUUAGUGUCCAGCGCAUUGCUCUAGAAAAAUGGACUGGACUUGGUUUUCAACUGCGCCAAAUGCGAUUGGAAUCACUGCAGCCGUUUUACUAUGAUACUGCGUAAAGAAAUUGUUCUUCACUUCCAGCAGUGGAGGUCUCCUUUUGCUGAGGAUUCAAGGACUCCUUUGACCCCGCUGGAAAUUGACCAAACUAAACGCGACGAAGUUUUAAAAAGAGCGUUUACUAAGCAGCUGGCCACUGAGAAGAAAUGGGACGCCAUAGUCAUAGGAUCCGGAAUAGGAGGGAUGUCCACUGCAGCGCUACUAAGCAAAGCAGGAAUGAAAGUGUUGGUUCUCGAAAAGCACUACAAAUGUGGCGCUGUCACACUUUCAAAAAGCAAGGCUACGAAUUCGAUGUCGGAAUUCACUACGUGGGCAACUUCAUCCGCCCGACUCUGACUCGAACUCUUGUGGAACAAAUCACUGACGGGCAAAUCCAGUGGGCUCAACUCGACAGCGGCUUUGAUCGUGUGAUCAUGAACUCCACGUCUCCACAACGGCGCGAUUGCAGCGUUUCUUCCGGAAAGGACGCUUGGAAAAAUCAACUUCUGAAGGAGUUUCCCGGCGAAAGAAAAGCCAUCGAACAUUCUUUUCCCUGCUGAUGCGAGCAAACCAUCCGUUGGGAUACUCGCUAGGAUUGUAUGCAUUUAAAAUUCUCCCACUGUGGCUCGUCAAAGUGAUGUGCUUCUUGGGUUAGCCGCGUGUCGUCUGAGUGAUUACUUUGUAUUAAACAAACGCUCAAUCGAAGAAGUUGUCACGAGCCUAACGGACAACAGCGAUCUUCAGUUCCUGCUCAACUACAGCUCCGGAGGCGUCCGGAGGUUAUGGCGUGAGUGCGGAUCGCGCAUCUGUUUCCAUGGCUGCUUUCCUGCACGCCCACUGCUGUGAAUUUGGGUCUUGUUAUCCGGUCGGUGGAGCCUCGGAAAUCCCAUAUUGAAUCAUCCCGGUCAUAGAGCGAUCAGGUGGCCGAGUGCUCAUGAAGGCCCACGUAUCUCAGAUUCUAACCGAAAACGGACGGGUGACGGGCGUACGGGUCGGCCAAAAAAAACAGUCGGCUGUCGACUUAUACGCUCCCAUUGUCAUUUCUGAUGCAGGUCUUCAAAACACGUUUCAGGAUCUUCUUCCGGAAAAUGUCGCCAAAUUGUCACCCAGCUGGUCGUUAGCGAAUUCUCUUCCAGCUGCGUUGGGGAAUUUAACCGUUUUCAUUGGACUCAAAGGCAUUCCUGAAGAACUGGGUUUAACCGGUUUAACAGCGCAAAAUGUCUGGAUCUUCACCGACUUCCAUCCAAUAAAUAAUGAGCUCAAAGAUAACUAGGCUAUAAUGAGGCUACUUUACAACGUUUUUGCACCGAUCCGUAUAUCCGGCAAUUUUCAUUUCAUCCGCCUCCGCCAAAGAUCCUUCGUGGGCCAAAAGAUACCCUGACCGGAGUACCAUAUCGGUCGUGUCUUUCAUCCCUUACUCUUUUUUCGCCAAUUGGUCUCACCUGAAGGCAAAGAAACGAGGCGACGACUACAACGCCUUGAAAAAUGCCAUCGGACUGCAGAUUAUCGAUCAAGUGACUCGCCAGUAUCCUAAGAUAAAGAACGCGAUCGAUUAUUUUAGCGUUGCAACUCCGGUUACCAUUGAGCACUACCUCAACACCAAAAAAGGCGGGACUUACGGAUUGGAACACGAUAAGGAACGUUUUGACCCAGAAAUGUCAUCUGUGCUGCGUCCCGAAUCUGGCAUUGAAGGAUUAUUCUUUAGCGGCCAAGACGUGACAACGUGUGGAUUCGCUUCUACCAUGCUCAGCGGCCUGUUGUGCGCUGGCGCUGUCUUAAAGAAAAAAUAUUCCAUCGCGUUCGAUCUCCUUUCGUUACACACGAAACUGUCGGGCAGACCUGAAAACCUCGACAGUUUAUUUUUUCUAAUAGCUGCGCAAUGCGCAUCGUUGUUUUUUUGUCAUUUGAAAGAAUUGGGUGCAAUAAUAUUAGUUACUAUAAAUACAUUUCCGAACAAAUAAUUCGUUGACUUUGUUUGCCAUUUUCCGUCCCUCCCACUCAUACUUCCAACGAUAUCGAUAAUGAGUGCGGUGCAACUAAGAAUUGGAAACUACAUGGCAGAAUUUAAUAAAAUGUUCCUG